rnacentral:rRNA from 1 species
CUCGUAGGUGGCCAACUAAGUCAGACGUGAAAUCCCUCGGCUUAACCGGGGAACUGCGUCUGAUACUGGAUGGCUUGAGUUCGGGAGAGGGAUGCGGAAUUCCAGGUGUAGCGGUGAAAUGCGUAGAUAUCUGGAGGAACACCGGUGGCGAAGGCGGCAUCCUGGACCGACACUGACGCUGAGGAGCGAAAGCGUGGGGAGCAAACA